rnacentral:lncRNA from 1 species
GGAAAGGAAUAUGACAUGCUUCCAAGAUUUCACAAGGAAAAACUCGUGGUGGGGCCGAUGACAUGUGCUGCAUGCAUGCACAAUGAAGAGACAAGAAAACAUAUAUGCAUUGUGUGCAUGCAUAAUGAAGAGACAAGAAAACAUACUUUAGGUCAUUUUCUGGAGCCUGACAUAUUAUAUUACUGAUUUAUUUGUAUAUAUGUUUUGCAAUGGCUUCUUCGAGGUACAGGUCUUAUUUUGCUGAUAGAGUGUAGACUCAUUUCACGGGGGCACCAUUAGCAAGGCAGUUCCCGUAACUAUGCCUAAAGUCAUCUUCAGGGGCAAGAAAAUAUAUCAUCAAUGCCGAAUUAAAGGCUAGCAUUCAUAUAGAGAGAUUUUUGGCCAUCAUCAAUAAUUAUCAUACAAUGCAAACAUCAAACAUUUGUACUAAAAUAUAGAUGAUCGGAGAUUUGGUGCAUUUAAAAAGCAUUUUGUUC